UUACGGCCAUAUCUCGUUGAAACACCGGGUCUCGUCCGGUCAGCUAAAUUAAGCAACGUCAAGCCUGGUCAGUUCCUAGAUGGGUGACCACUUGGAAUAUUAUGUGCUGUAAG